rnacentral:snoRNA from 1 species
AUGAUAUAGAAAUAAAAAAAGAGCGAAAGCCUUAACGCAAUAUUACUCCUAUUCAUUUUGUUUAGAGGGUAAUAUAUAUGUAAAGGUUUAUGAGCGUUAAAAGUGAGUAGUUUUCAAUCUGAUAAAA